AAGUCGUAACAAGGUUUCCGUAGGUGAACCUGCGGAAGGAUCAUUAACACUUAAAAUAAAAACAAUUUCCCUUUUGAAUCCCUCUCUUUUCUUUCUCCUCUCUUCGGAGGGAGGAAGUCAAGAGAUUUUCAAAUUUAAUUUGAACAAAAAUGUGUAACCUUACUUUUUUACUUAUGGAUUUGAGGGCAAGAAAAGAGGGAGUUUUCUCUCUCUCUUCGUGGUCCUCAGAUUUUCUCAUAAACCAGUUAAACCCAAAAACAAAAUAUGGCGUAUCUCAAAGGGACUUUUUGUCUCUCUGACGAUCCCCCAUAGUUAAACCAAAAACAAAAAACCAAAAACAAAAUAAAAACAAAAUAAAACACAACUCUUAACAAUGGAUAUCUUGGUUCUCGC
rnacentral:misc_RNA from 1 species